rnacentral:rRNA from 1 species
UACGUAGGGUGCAAGCGUUUGUCCGGAAUUAUUGGGCGUAAAGAGCUCGUAGGCGGUUUGUUGCGUCGGCUGUGAAAUCCCGAGGCUCAACCGCGGGUCUGCAGUCGAUACGAGCAAACUAGAGUGUUGCAGGGGAGACUGGAAUUCCUGGUGUAGCGGUGAAAUGCGCAGAUAUCAGGAGGAACACCGAUGGCGAAGGCAGGUCUCUGGGCAUUAACUGACGCUGAGGAGCGAAAGCAUGGGGAGCGAACAGG